rnacentral:rRNA from 1 species
CCUCUCAAGUUUUGGGACGAAGCAUUCCUUACUGCUGUUCACAUUAUUAACAUGCUUCCUAGCCGUGUCAUAAAUAAUGAAACUCUGGUAGAACGUCUUCUCCACACAAAACCGGACUACACUACACUCCGUGUCUUCGGCUGUGCAUGUUGGCCAAACUUACGUCCCUACAACAAGCGCAAACUAAUGUUUCGCUCCAAGAAAUGUGCUUUCCUUGGAUAUAGUGCACAACACAAGGGUGUAAAGUGCCUUGACAUCUCCACGGGUCGUGUUUAUAUCUCACGAGACGUUGUCUUUGAUGAGACCAAGUUU